UACGAAGGGGGCAAGCGUUGUUCGGAAUUAUUGGGCGUAAAGGGAGCGUAGGCGGUUCGGCAAGUCUUUAGUGAAAUCUCUGGGCUCAACUCAGAGUCUGCUGGAGAAACUGCCGGGCUUGAGUAUGGGAGAGGUGAGUGGAAUUCCUGGUGUAGCGGUGAAAUGCGUAGAUAUCAGGAGGAACACCUGUGGCGAAAGCGGCUCACUGGACCAUAACUGACGCUGAUGCACGAAAGCUAGGGGAGCAAACAGG
rnacentral:rRNA from 1 species